rnacentral:rRNA from 1 species
UUGGAGGGCAAGUCUGGUGCCAGCAGCCGCGGUAAUUCCAGCUCCAAUAGCGUAUAUUAAAGUUGUUGCAGUUAAAAAGCUCGUAGUUGAACUUCGGGGUUUACCCAUUGGCCAGGCUUAAUUGUCUGUACUGGUGAGAUGAAUCUCUACCUUCUGAGGAACUUUCAUGCCAUUUAUUUGGUGUGAUUGGAAAUCAGGACUGUUACUUUGAAAAAAUUAGAGUGUUUAAAGCAGGCUAACGUCUGAAUACAUUAGCAUGGAAUAAUGAAAUAGGACGGACUGAUUCUAUUUCGUUGGUUUCUAGGAUCACCGUAAUGAUUAAUAGGGAUAGUUGGGGGCAUUAGUAUUCAAUUGUCAGAGGUGAAAUUCUUGGAUUUAUUGAAGACUAACUACUGCGAAAGCAUUUGCCAAGGAUGUUUUCAUUAAUCAAGAACGAAAGCUAGGGGAUCGAAGACGAUCAGAUACCGUCGUAGUCUUAACCAUAAACUAUGCCGACUAGGGAUCGGACGAAGUUAAUUUUAUAAUGACGCGUUCGGCACCUUACGGGAAACCAAAGUGUUUGGGUUC